UGGGGAAUAUUGCACAAUGGGGGAAACCCUGAUGCAGCGACGCCGCGUGAGUGAAGAAGUAAUUCGUUAUGUAAAGCUCUAUCAGCAGGGAAGAAAAUGACGGUACCUGAGUAAGAAGCCCCGGCUAACUACGUGCCAGCAGCCGCGGUAAUACGUAGGGGGCAAGCGUUAUCCGGAUUUACUGGGUGUAAAGGGGGCGCAGACGGCAAUGCAAGCCAGGAGUGAAAGCCCGGGGCCCAACCCCGGGACUGCUCUUGGAACUGCAUGGCUGGAGUACAGGAGGGGCAGGCGGAAUUCCUAGUGUAGCGGUGAAAUGCGUAGAUAUUAGGAGGAACACCGGUGGCGAAGGCGGCCUGCUGGACUGUGACUGACGUUGAGGCCCGAAGGCGUGGGGAGCAAACAGGAUUAGAUACC
rnacentral:rRNA from 1 species